AGUGAACGCUGGCGGUAGGCCUAACACAUGCAAGUCGAACGGCAGCACAGUAAGAGCUUGCUCUUACGGGUGGCGAGUGGCGGACGGGUGAGGAAUACAUCGGAAUCUACUUUUUCGUGGGGGAUAACGUAGGGAAACUUACGCUAAUACCGCAUACGACCUACGGGUGAAAGCAGGGGAUCUUCGGACCUUGCGCGAUUGAAUGAGCCGAUGUCGGAUUAGCUAGUUGGCGGGGUAAAGGCCCACCAAGGCGACGAUCCGUAGCUGGUCUGAGAGGAUGAUCAGCCACACUGGAACUGAGAAACGGGCCAGACUCCUACGGGAGGCAGCAGUGGGGAAUAUUGGCCAAAGGGCGCAAGACUGAUCCAGCCAUACCGCGUGGGUGAAGAAGGCCUUCGUGUUGUAAAGCCAUUUUGUUGGGAAAGAAAAGCAGCAGGUUAAUACCCCGCUGUUCUGACGGUACCCAAAGAAUAAGCACCGGCUAACUUCGUG
rnacentral:rRNA from 1 species